UGAUGAUGAGGGUGUAGUAGAGACAUAGUAUUGAUACAUCUUUUUCAUGAGAACAACGUAACAUCAGUCACUAGUAGAAAUGUUAGUAUUCCUAAAUCUCAUAGCUCCAACUCCAGCUCGCAAUCCAUGGCGUAGACUAACGCAAGAGAGCUAGCAACACUCCUAGCAAUCAAGAAAGGCUGGGGCAGCCCAUCUGCGCUCAGCUCAUGGAGCUCCCAGAAGGCCAGAACGCUUCCUACUGGCUACUGCAGCUAGACAGGGGUCAGGUGCGUGAACAACAUCAGUCUAUAGCUGCUCGGUUCCCCACAGCGCUCACCGGCCAGGCCAGUUCCGCACAGC
rnacentral:lncRNA from 1 species